AGCUUUGCACAGUGGCAGUAUCAUAGCCAAUGAGGGUUAUCAGAGGUGUAAUUAUUGCUAAUUGAAAAUUUUUUCCAAAACCCCACCAUGACAACUUGAAAUACAGUCAGCUUUGGCAAUUUUUGAGUCUCCACAGAGA